AGAGUUUGAUCCUGGCUCAGGAUGAACGCUGGCGGCGUGCUUAAUACAUGCAAGUCGAACGAGGGCACUCACGUAGCAAUACGAGGGUGUUCCUAGUGGCGAACGGGUGCGUAACACGUAGGCGACCUGCCCCGAAGUGUGGGAUAACACCGCGAAAGCGGUGCUAAUACCGCAUGAUCUCCCUGGGGUUAGAGGCCUGGGGAGCAAAGGCGUAAGCCGCUUUGGGAGGGGCCUGCGGCCCAUCAGCUAGUUGGUAGGGUAACGGCCUACCAAGGCAGCGACGGGUAGGGGGCCUGAGAGGGUGGCCCCCCACACUGGCACUGAAAUACGGGCCAGACACCUACGGGUGGCAGCAGUAGGGAAUAUUGGACAAUGGGCGAAAGCCUGAUCCAGCAACGCCGCGUGCGCGAUGAAGGCCUUCGGGUUGUAAAGCGCUUUUCGGGGGGAUGAGGAAGGACCGUACCCCCGGAAUAAGUCUCGGCUAACUACGUGCCAGCAGCCGCGGUAAAACGUAGGAGGCAAGCGUUAUCCGGAUUUACUGGGCGUAAAGCGCGUGCAGGCGGUUCGGUAAGUCGGACGUGAAAGCUCCUGGCUCAACUGGGAGAGGCCGUUCGAUACUACCGGACUAGAGGGCAGGAGAGGGAGGUGGAAUUCCGGGUGUAGCGGUGAAAUGCGUAGAUAUCCGGAGGAACACCAGUGGCGAAGGCGGCCUCCUGGUCUGCCCCUGACGCUCAGACGCGAAAGCUAGGGGAGCGAACGGGAUUAGAAACCCCGGUAGUCCUAGCUGUAAACGAUGCGGACUUGGUGUGGGUGGCUUAAACUCCAUCCGUGCCGCAGCCAACGCGAUAAGUCCGCCGCCUGGGGACUACGGCCGCAAGGUUAAAACUCAAAGGAAUUGACGG
rnacentral:rRNA from 1 species